AACAAGAUAACAUAAUGAGAUUACUUCUAAAAUAUGUCUUUAACAGUUAUACCAUAUCAAAACAAAGAAAACUAUUACACCAUAGUAAGAGCCAAAACAAAUUGAUUUAUCUGCUCACAAGUAAAUCAUUGACAACAAAUAGCCACCAACAGAAAGUCACUGAGGCUCUGGAAUCUGCAGUAAAAAUAAAAAAUAAUGCUGCCUCUUAACUAUGAACAGAUCAGUCAAUGCUGCUUAAUGGAACCAAAAAGAUCCUUGUAUGUAUUUUUAGGGGCAUCAGCCCGAGAAACAACUUCCACAACUUUGUAAGAUGAUUCGGGAUGGAUUAAUGCCUCAACAGCAACCUCUGCAACCAAAUCUCUGGAGAUAGAUCCUUCAUAGAGAGUAUCCUCUGUCUCCAUAAUAACAUUUCCGGUUGGAGGGUCAUUUCUCAACCCACCAGGUCUAAUUAUGGUGUAAUUUACACCGGAUCUCCUGAUAUAUUGCUCUGCCUGAAGCUUCGCUAUUAAGGUCAGUCCAAAAACAUUGAGAAAGAUGUAAGCUGGAUUUAGUAUCUGACCCAUUGCUGCUCCAUUGACUAAAAUGGAGCUGAUGAGAAUAAAUCUGUUCACNCAGUUUACGACAAGCAUCAACAAGGUUAACAGUACCAAAAUUAUCAACCUUCCACGGAGCAAACAAGUCCCAACCAGGCCGAAAUCCAGUAGCGCAUAUUACAGCCUCAGAAUCAUCUCCUAUUGCUUCUGCUAAUUUGGAAGGCCCCUCCGUUACAUCUGCUUUCACCAUUUGAAGAGAAGGGUUAUCUUUGGAAAAAGUAGUUUUGGCCUUCUCUAAAUCUCUAACCCCAGCCUUGACCUCGAAACCCUUUGCUAGUAGCUGGUGGACAAUCCUUUUACCAGUACUUCCAGUUGCCCCAGCAACAAAUAUUUUCUUCUUCUCGUUCACUUUUGUUUCUGUAAGCUCUGUAAUUUCCUCAGUCACUUCACUACCUUCCAUCUUAGAGGAAUUGAGGCAAUGAGACGUGGGUUUUGAUACAGUAGAGAAAGAAAUAUCGGAGAAGGGUUUGGAGAAAGCGUGUUGGCGUUGGUGGUUCUUGUGAUGGGUUUGAAGAGUCCAAAGAAGAGAGGAUCUUUGCAUCAAAGAAGUAGCCAUAGAAAUUGAAGUGACACUGAUAGUUUUCAGAUUCUUAAAAU
rnacentral:misc_RNA from 1 species